rnacentral:rRNA from 1 species
GCCAGACUCCUACGGGAGGCAGCAGUGGGGGAUAUUGCACAAUGGGGGAAACCCUGAUGCAGCGACGCCGCGUGAGUGAAGAAGUAUUUCGGUAUGUAAAGCUCUCUCAGCAGGGAAGAAAAAAGACGGUACCUGACUAAGAAGCCCCGGCUAACUACGUGCCAGCAGCCGCGGUAAUACGUAGGGGGCAAGCGUUAUCCGGAUUUACUGGGUGUAAAGGGAGCGUAGACGGCAAUACAAGUCGGAAGUGAAAUACCCGGGCUUAACCUGGGAACUGCUUUGGAAACUGUAUGGCUGGAGUGCUGGAGAGGUAAGCGGAAUUCCUAGUGUAGCGGUGAAAUGCGUAGAUAUUAGGAGGAACACCAGUGGCGAAGGCGGCUUACUGGACAGUAACUGACGUUGAGGCUCGAAAGCGUGGGGAGCAAACAGGAUUAGAUACCCUAGUA